rnacentral:rRNA from 1 species
AAUGAACGUUGGCGGCGUGGAUUAGGCAUGCAAGUCGUGCGAGAAUCGCUUUCGGGCGAGGACAGCGGCGAAAGGGAGAGUAACGGGUGGUUACAUACCCUCAGGCUCGGGAUAGUGUCGGGAAACUGACAGUAAUACCGAAUAAUAUCUAAGGAUCAAAGGUGUGAUUCCGCCUGAGGAUUGGACCGCUUUCUAUUAGCUUGUUGGCGGGGUAAUGGCCCACCAAGGCUUAGAUGGAUACCGGGUGUGAGAGCAUGGCCCGGCUCACUGGGUCUGAGACACUGCCCAGACACCUACGGGUGGCUGCAGUCGAGAAUCUUCGGCAAUGGACGAAAGUCUGACCGAGCGACGCCGCGUGCGGGAUGAAGGCCUUCGGGUUGUAAACCGCUGUCAGUUGGGAGGAAAUGUUAGGGGGUUCUCCCCUUAAUUUGACCGAUCUUCAGAGGAAGGACGGGCUAAGUUCGUGCCAGCAGCCGCAGUAAUAC